AGGACUCCAUCAAACUGGAUGUGUGAACAAACCUGCCCGAGGAAGACAGCAAGGUGAAAGAGGAGCAGCUGCACAGUGUGAAGUAUAUUUAUGGAGCUUCACCACAGAAUCAAAUGUAGUUAUUGGUAAUUGUUUGCCUGGGACCGACCUGCAGGCUCAGCUUGUAUUAGCUCAGAUCAACUGGUCCUCCUGCUGGAGAGACGAGUGGAAGAUGGAGCAGUUCAUAUCUAGAGAUUUGAUAAUGUUGCUAAAUGCCUUGUGGUGUAAUGAACUUGUAAGCUUGAACAAAGUGCAUCAACCUGUUCACCUUUCAUAAGUUCUCUUGCUGGAGUUCUGAUAUACACUUGUACUUGUUUAAACUUCAUCAGACUUCUUGUUUUUGAUACUCAUCGUCUCAUCUUAAACAUUAUUCUUCAUUUCUACAUUAAACUGCGUAUUAGUGGAAGUACUUUGUGAUUUGAAGAGAACAUUUAGUUCUCAGAGGAGACGACUCCUGAUGAUGUCAUCAAGAGAAAAGGAAUAGAAGGGAUUUUAUUUGUAUCUUUUAUCAUUUAGUUUGUAAGUUUUAUGCAUUAUGAGAACAUUGUGUUAAGAUGUUCCUUUGUUAUGGUUUGUAACUUCAUAAUGUGCUUUCCUUGUGUUUUUAUAUGCACACAUUGUAGAUGUGUUUGUCUCAGGAGUUUCCCACGCGUCCCAGCCGGGCACAGCGAGUGUUAUCAGGAGGUGUUUCAAGUCUCUCUCUCUCAGUGGGGGGCAGAGGACCAGGGCUCAGUCGCAGGUUAUUGGGCUCGUAUACUUUAUGGCACCCAACCAUCUGGGGGUACAGGGCCUGUUGCUCUGUACCAGGGGUCUCCAACUCUUCUUCAUCUGAGAGAUACUUUAACUCAUGAAUUAUUCAUGUUUACUCAUGAAGUUAAAGAAUAUAUUACAUUAUAACUUUUAAAGACUAAAACUAAUAACUUUCUAACUUCAUGGUGAACUCUUUAAAGAAGAAGAACGUAAGUGUUUCUCAUUAUAAUGACAUAUUACUGAAGUUGAUUUAUUCCAGCUCUAUUUCAUAUUUCUUAUUGUUGUUAUGCAUUUAUUUGUAUUCUUCUUCUUGUUUCUCUGUUUAUGUUGAGUACAUGUCUCAACAUGUGUGUAUUUGAAGGUUUUUCUAUUAGAAUUGAAGGAUUAAAAACAUCAUUCAUGUUCUCCUCA